UACGAAGGGUGCAAACGUUGUCCGGAAUUAUUGGGCGUAAAGGGCUCGUAGGCGGUUUGUCACGUCGGGAGUGAAAACUCGGGGCUUAACUCCGAGCCUGCUUCCGAUACGGGCUGACUAGAGGUAUGCAGGGGAGAACGGAAUUCCUGGUGUAGCGGUGAAAUGCGCAGAUAUCAGGAGGAACACCGGUGGCGAAGGCGGUUCUCUGGGCAUUACCUGACGCUGAGGAGCGAAAGUGUGGGGAGCGAACAGG
rnacentral:rRNA from 1 species